rnacentral:miRNA from 13 species
AUCCUGUCCUACGCAUGAGUUCCACUAAGCAAGUUUUGGGCAUAUUUCAAAAACAAAAACUUGACACGUUGAGCUCGUCUGUGUGACAGAACGAACAAC